rnacentral:rRNA from 1 species
GUUGAACGCUGGCGGCAUGCUUUACACAUGCAAGUCGAACGGUAACAGGUCUUCGGAUGCUGACGAGUGGCGAACGGGUGAGUAAUAUAUCGGAACGUGCCCAGUCGUGGGGGAUAACGUAGCGAAAGUUACGCUAAUACCGCAUACGAUCUACGGAUGAAAGCGGGGGAUCGCAAGACCUCGCGCGAUUGGAGCGGCCGAUAUCAGAUUAGGUAGUUGGUGGGGUAAAGGCUCACCAAGCCAACGAUCUGUAGCUGGUCUGAGAGGACGACCAGCCACACUGGAACUGAGACACGGUCCAGACUCCUACGGGAGGCAGCAGUGGGGAAUUUUGGACAAUGGACGCAAGUCUGAUCCAGCCAUUCCGCGUGCAGGAUGAAGGCCCUCGGGUUGUAAACUGCUUUUGUACGGAACGAAAAGGUUUCUAUUAAUACUAGGAGCUCAUGACGGUACCGUAAGAAUAAGCACCGGCUAACUACGUG